AUAUAAACCUUCAAGCUGAGUACCUAGCAUAAGCUGACCACUAACUAAAAGGAGUAAGCAGGGAACGUCUCUUGCACAUGGAGACAGUUGGAAAGAGCAGGACCUGUGAUCCGCCGCCGGGAUUUGGUUGGCCCAUGCACAGGAUGCAAGAGACUUUCAAAUGGACAAGGAAUUAGAACAAAAAUUAAGAAUAAGGAAAACAAACAUACAACAGAAAUCUCAGUCUGUCCCAG